rnacentral:misc_RNA from 1 species
CCGAGUGCGAGCCCUCGCGGCUCAACCUCCCACCCUUGUCUCUAUACACCUGUUGCUUUGGCGGGCCCACCGGGGUCACCUGGUCGCCGGGGGACGAAACGUCCCCGGGCCCGCGCCCGCCGAAGCGCUCUGUGAACCCUGAUGAAGAUGGGCUGUCUGAGUACUAUGAAAAUUGUCA